UACGUAGGGGGCUAGCGUUGUCCGGAUUCAUUGGGCGUAAAGAGCUCGUAGGCGGUUCGGUAAGUCAGGUGUGAAAACUCCAGGCUCAACUUGGAGACGCCACCUGAUACUGUCGUGACUAGAGUCCGGUAGGGGAGGCAUGGAAUUCCUGGUGUAGCGGUGAAAUGCGCAGAUAUCAGGAGGAACACCAGCGGCGAAGGCGGUGCUCUGGGGCCGGAACUGACGCUGAGGAGCGAAAGCGUGGGGAGCGAACAGG
rnacentral:rRNA from 1 species